CCCUUAGAUGUCCUGGGCCGCACGCGCGCUACACUGAAGGAAUCAGCGUGGCUUUCUCCCUGACCCGAAAGGGUUGGGAAACCCGUUGAAUCUCCUUCGUGAUAGGGAUUGGGGCUUGAAAUUGUUCCCCAUGAACGAGGAAUUCCCAGUAAGCGCGAGUCAUAAGCUCGCGUUGAUUACGUCCCUGCCCUUUGUACACACCGCCCGUCGCUACUACCGAUUGAAUGGUUUAGUGAGAUCCUUGGAUCGGCCCUGUCGCGGCUGGCAACGGCCGCGUCGGCGCGUCGAGAAGACGAUCAAACUUGAUCAUUUAGAGGAAGUAAAAGUCGUAACA
rnacentral:rRNA from 1 species